GACGAACGCUGGCGGCGUGCCUCAUACAUGCAAGUAGACCUGAGAUGCGAACGGGUGAGUAACGCGUAGGAAACUGCCUCAUAGUGGGGGAGAACUAUUGGAACCGAUAGCUAAUACCGCAUACUGUGAGAUGGACCUGCGUUGUAUUAACUAGUUGGUACGGUAAAGGCCUACCAAGGCGACGAUCCGUAACUGGUCUGAGAGGAGGAUCAGUCACACUGGAACUUAGACACGGUCCAGACUCCUACGUGAGGCAGCAGUGGGGAAUAUUGGACAAUGGGCGCAAGCCUGAUCCAGCCAUGCCGCGUGUUUGAAGAAGGUCUUCGGAUUGUAAAGCACUGUAAGUUGGGAGUCGUUACCAACAGAAUAAGCACCGGCUAACUUCGUGCCAGCAGCCGCGGUAAUUC
rnacentral:rRNA from 1 species